rnacentral:rRNA from 1 species
UACGUAGGGUGCAAGCGUUGUCCGGAAUUAUUGGGCGUAAAGAGCUCGUAGGCGGUUUGUCGCGUCGGCUGUGAAAUCUCGGGGCUUAACUCCGAGCCUGCAGUCGAUACGGGCAGACUUGAGUUCGGUAGGGGAGACUGGAAUUCCUGGUGUAGCGGUGAAAUGCGCAGAUAUCAGGAGGAGCACCGGUGGCGAAGGCGGGUCUCUGGGCCGAAACUGACGCUGAGGAGCGAAAGCGUGGGGAGCGAACAGG